rnacentral:rRNA from 1 species
UGGUCAAGUUAUUAAGGGUGCAGGGCGGAUGCCUUGGCACUAGGAGCCGAUGAAGGACGUGAUAAGCUGCGAUAAGCUUCGGGGAGUUGCACGUAAACUUUGAUCCGAAGAUUUCCGAAUGAGGAAACUCACUUAGAGUAAUGUCUAAGUAUCAUUAAGUGAAUACAUAGCUUAAUGAGGGGAACUCAGGGAACUGAAACAUCUAAGUACCUGAAGGAAGAGAAAGAAAUUCGAUUCCGUAAGUAGCGGCGAGCGAACGCGGAUUAGCCCAAACCAAUAAAGUUUUCUUUGUUGGGGUUGCGGACAUAUCAUAACGAAGAGGUAUCGUAAUUGAAGAGGUUUGGAAAGACCCACCACAGAAGGUAAUAGUCCUGUAUGUUAAACGAGAAGACUUCAGAUAUGAUCCAGAGUACCACGGGACACGUGAAACCCUGUGGGAAGCAGGAGGGACCACCCUCCAAGGCUAAAUACUACCUAGUGACCGAUAGCGUAUAGUACCGUGAGGGAAAGGUGAAAAGAACCCCGGGAGGGGAGUGAAAUAGAACCUGAAACCCUGCACUUACAAGCUGUGGAAGCACAUUUCUUGUGUGACCGCGUACUUUUUGUAGAACGGGCCAACGAGUUACGUUAAGUAGCAAGGUUAAGCACUUAAGGUGCGGAGCCGUAGCGAAAGCGAGUUUUAACUGAGCGUUCAGUUACUUGACGUAGACCCGAAACCGGGCGACCUACCCAUGAGCAGGAUGAAGCGAAAGUAAAAUUUCGUGGAGGUCCGAACCCACGAGCGUUGAAAAGCUCGGGGAUGACUUGUGGGUAGCGGUGAAAUUCCAAUCGAGCCCGGAGAUAGCUGGUUCUCCCCGAAAUAGCUUUAGGGCUAGCCUCAAGGUGAGAGAUACGGAGGUAGAGCACUGAAUGUCCUAGGGGGUAUUGCACCUACCGAAGACUAUCAAACUCCGAAUGCCGUCAUCUUAUACUUGGGAGUCAGACUGUGGGUGAUAAGAUUCAUAGUCGAAAGGGCAACAGCCCAGAUCGUCAGCUAAGGUCCCUAAAUGUAAGUUAAGUGGUAAAGGAUGUGGGAUUGCACAGACAACCAGGAUGUUGGCUUAGAAGCAGCCACUCAUUCAAAGAGUGCGUAAUAGCUCACUGGUCGAGUGAUCCUGCGCCGAAGAUUUCCGGGGCUAAAACUUACUACCGAAGCUACGGCAUCAGUAAUGAUGGGUAGGGGAGCUUCCCAUACGGGUUGAAGCAUGACCGUAAGGACAUGUGGACAGUAUGGGAGUGAGAAUGUUGGCAUGAGUAGCGAGAUGUGGGUGAGAAUCCCACAGGCCGUAAACCCAAGGUUUCCAGGGGAAGGUUCGUCCGCCCUGGGUUAGUCGGGACCUAAGCUGAGGCCGAAAGGCGUAGGUGAUGGACAACAGGUUGAUAUUCCUGUACUACCGAUAACCGUUUGAGAGAAGGGAUGACACAGUAGGAUAAGCUAAGCACACUGUUGGUUAUGUGUGCCCAAGCAUUGAGGCAGUCAAAGCAGGCAAAUCCGCUUUGAUAAUGCUGGGAUGUGAUGGGGAGCGAAAUUUAGUAGCGAAGUAGCUGAUUUCACACUGUCAAGAAAAGUCUCUAUCGAGGUUAAAGGUACCCGUACCGCAAACCGACACAGGUGGGUGAGGAGAGUAUCCUAAGGCCAGCGAGAGAACUGUUGUUAAGGAACUCGGCAAAAUGACCCCGUAACUUAGGGAUAAGGGGUGCCACCAUCCGGUGGCCGCAGAGAAUAGGCCCAAGCGACUGUUUACCAAAAACAUAGGUUUCUGCUAAGUCGCAAGACGAUGUAUAGGAGCUGACGCCUGCCCGGUGCUGGAAGGUUAAGGGGAUCUGUUAGAGCAAUCGAAGCAGUGAACUUAAGCCCCAGUAAACGGCGGCCGUAACUAUAACGGUCCUAAGGUAGCGAAAUUCCUUGUCGGGUAAGUUCCGACCCGCACGAAAGGCGUAACGAUUUGGGCACUGUCUCAACAACAGACUCGGUGAAAUUGUAAUUCCGGUGAAGAUGCCGGAUAUCUGCGACAGGACGGAAAGACCCCAUGGAGCUUUACUGUAGCUUGACAUUGGGUCUUGGUACUACAUGUACAGGAUAGGUGGGAGGCUUUGAAACCAGGACGCCAGUUUUGGCGGAGCCAUCCUUGGGAUACCACCCUUGUAGUACUGGGACUCUAACCAUAGGCCAUGAAUCUGGUCUUGGGACACUGUCAGGUGGGCAGUUUGACUGGGGCGGUCGCCUCCCAAAAGGUAACGGAGGCGCUCAAAGGUUCUCUCAGUACGGUCGGAAAUCGUACGUAGAGUGUAAAGGCAAAAGAGAGCUUGAUUGCAAGACAUACAGGUCGAGCAAGGAUGAAAAUCGGACUUAGUGAUCCGGUGGUUCUGCGUGGAAGGGCCAUCGCUCAACGGAUAAAAGCUACCCUGGGGAUAACAGGCUUAUCUCCCCCAAGAGUCCACAUCGACGGGGAGGUUUGGCACCUCGAUGUCGGCUCAUCACAUCCUGGGGCUGUAGUAGGUCCCAAGGGUUGGGCUGUUCGCCCAUUAAAGUGGUACGCGAGCUGGGUUCAGAACGUCGUGAGACAGUUCGGUCCCUAUCCGUCGCAGGCGUAGGAAAUUUGAGAAGACCUGUCCUUAGUACGAGAGGACCGGGAUGGACGUACCUCUGGUGUACCAGUUGUUCUGCCAAGGGCAUGGCUGGGUAGCUAUGUACGGAAUGGAUAAGCGCUGAAAGCAUCUAAGCGCGAAGCCAACUUCAAGAUAAGAUUUCCCACCGCAAGGGUAAGACCCCAGAAAGACUAUCUGGUUGAUAGGUCGAAGGUGUAAGUGCAGCAAUGUAUUUAGCUUAUCGAUACUAAUAGGUCGAGGACUUGACCAAU